UUGAUUCUCAUGUUUUCAUUCAGACAACACACACGUCUAUGCAUAAAAGCGGCGACCCCAGAGGGACGCCGAAGCACGAUGUUCGCUUCCACAGGUUUGGAGGGUAGAAGGUCAAAGACCAUUCAAUAAUGAUCCCUCCGCAGGUUCACCUACGGAGA
rnacentral:misc_RNA from 1 species